UUACUCUGGUUUCCCUUCAAUACACGUAUAAAUCUUUCGCCUUUUACUAAAGAUUUCCGUGGAGGGGAACAAUUGAUGAGUCUUUAAGUAAUUUUUUGUGAACCUGACACAAGUCGGGUC
rnacentral:snRNA from 1 species